rnacentral:misc_RNA from 1 species
UUUUUUGCGACAGCGUUUCUUGACACUGGGAUAACUGGUGCGGGCGUUGGGAUUUUUCUAAAGUGGAACAUUUUGCGUAGGGAAAGGGCAGGAAAAAUGUUUGAAAAUAUGUAGAAUGAGUGUAAUAAUUAAUGACUUGGAUCACAUGCUACAUUUCAGCUUAACUCCACAUGCAGCCGGCUCUCGGAGCUAAUGGGACUAAUCAAGCAGCGUCAAAAGCGCAAGUUGGAUCGAAGCAUACCAUAACGAUGAAGUGGAUAUCUUUGACCGUGACAGC